CGCCCCCGCCCCCGCCCCCAACCUCCCACCUCCUCCCUCGCCUUUCUCUCCCGCUCCCCUCCCCCAGCAACCGCACACACGCACACACACAAACAGAGGGAGAGAAGCGGGGGAGAGGGGGGGCGAGAGAGAGAGGGAGAGAGAAGAGACGGAGAGGAGAGAGAGGGGAGAGAGAGAGAGAAAGAGAGAGAGGGAGAGAGAGAGAGAGAGAGAGAGAGAGAGAGAGAGAGAGAGAAGAGACUCCCCGGCUCCCUCCCUCCCUCGCACACAGCGACUGGAGACGGUCGGAGAGCAACGCGCUGGGAGAGGAGAGACCACCGAGAACAGCCCCGCGCUCUCACACAUACACUCACACUCGGCUCUUUCCUCUCCCCCCCACCUCCUCCUCCUCCUUCCACCCCCACCACUAACACCAUCUCCUCCUCCUCUCUGCAACAAGAAAAAAAAAAGCCAUUUACAGGGGGUGAUGUGCAACUAAUUAAAGGCAGACUGGCAGCGUCUGCAAAUUCUAAGGCUCCCCAAAUAAAAAGAGACUGUUGUAACAGUUGGAGGAUAAUGCAAAGGAAGACGCUGCCUGGGAAUUCACCGUCUGUGGACAUGCGCCCCAGAGAGGAAUAAAGCAGUCCUCACCUUGCUCUCCCCACCCAGACCCACUUUCCCCUCCCGCCUCGGCCCCCACCCCGACACCACCAUCACCCCCUUCCCUCCCCCCCACCUCCC
rnacentral:lncRNA from 1 species